rnacentral:piRNA from 1 species
UGCUAACCGUCCAAAUNGGGCCUUUUAGC